AACGAACGCUGGCGGCAGGCCUAACACAUGCAAGUCGAGCGCGCCGUUCGGGGAGCGGCAGGCGGGUGAGUAUCGCGCGGGAACGCACCCUUAUCUGCGGGGUAUCACCGGGAGACUGUAAUUAUAACCGAAUGUGCUCUCUGGGGGAAAGAUUUAUCGGAUAAGGAUCGGCCCGCGUUGGAUUAGCUAGUUGGUGGGGUAAAGGCCUACCAAGGCGACGAUCCAUAGCUGGUCUGAGAGGAUGAUCAGCCACACUGGGACUGAGACACGGCCCAGACUCCUACGGGAGGCAGCAGUGGGGAAUAUUGGACAAUGGGCGCAAGCCUGAUCCAGCCAUGCCGCGUGAGUGAUGAAGGCCUUAGGGUUGUAAAGCUCUUUCACCGGAGAAGAUAAUGACGGUAUCCGGAGAAGAAGCCCCGGCUAACUUCGUG
rnacentral:rRNA from 1 species